rnacentral:rRNA from 1 species
AACAGACGGAAACGACUGCUAAUACCGAAUACGAUCCGAAAGUCGCAUGACAUUUGGAUGAAAGGGUGGGCCUAUCGAAGAAGCUAUCGCUUGAAGAGGGGUUUGCGUCCGAUUAGGUAGUUGGUGAGGUAACGGCCCACCAAGCCGACGAUCGGUAGCCGGUCUGAGAGGAUGAACGGCCACACUGGAACUGAGACACGGUCCAGACUCCUACGGGAGGCAGCAGGG